GGACUAUUAGCUCAGUUGGUUAGAGCGCACCCCUGAUAAGGGUGAGGUCCCUGGUUCAAAUCCAGGAUAGCCCAC
rnacentral:tRNA from 1 species